AGAGUUUGAUCCUGGCUCAGGACGAACGCUGGCGGCGUGCUUAACACAUGCAAGUCGAACGGUGAACCCCAGCUUGCUGGGGGGAUCAGUGGCGAACGGGUGAGUAACACGUGAGUAACCUGCCCCUGACUCUGGGAUAAGCCUUGGAAACGAGGUCUAAUACCGGAUACGUGCCGCUCGGGCAUCCGAUGCGGUUGGAAAGAUUUAUCGGUCAGGGAUGGACUCGCGGCCUAUCAGCUUGUUGGUGGGGUAACGGCCCACCAAGGCGACGACGGGUAGCCGGCCUGAGAGGGCGACCGGCCACACUGGGACUGAGACACGGCCCAGACUCCUACGGGAGGCAGCAGUGGGGAAUAUUGCACAAUGGGCGCAAGCCUGAUGCAGCGACGCCGCGUGAGGGAUGAAGGCCUUCGGGUUGUAAACCUCUUUCAGCAGGGAAGAAGCGCAAGUGACGGUACCUGCAGAAGAAGCGCCGGCUAACUACGUGCCAGCAGCCGCGGUAAUACGUAGGGCGCAAGCGUUGUCCGGAAUUAUUGGGCGUAAAGAGCUCGUAGGCGGUUUGUCGCGUCUGCUGUGAAAACUCGAGGCUCAACCUCGGGCUUGCAGUGGGUACGGGCAGACUAGAGUGCGGUAGGGGAGACUGGAAUUCCUGGUGUAGCGGUGGAAUGCGCAGAUAUCAGGAGGAACACCGAUGGCGAAGGCAGGUCUCUGGGCCGCAACUGACGCUGAGGAGCGAAAGCAUGGGGAGCGAACAGGAUUAGAUACCCUGGUAGUCCAUGCCGUAAACGUUGGGCACUAGGUGUGGGGCUCAUUCCACGAGUUCCGUGCCGCAGCAAACGCAUUAAGUGCCCCGCCUGGGGAGUACGGCCGCAAGGCUAAAACUCAAAGGAAUUGACGG
rnacentral:rRNA from 1 species